CAUCUUUUCUUGAAUUUUAAUAUGAAAUAUGACCUGCCCACUGAUAAAUUUGAAGGGCCGCGGUAUUUUGACCGUGCAAAGGUAGCAUAAUCAUUAGUCUUUUAAUUGUGGACUGGAAUGAAUGGUUGGACGAGGAAUAUACUGUUUCUUAUAAUAUUAUUGAAUUUAAUUUUUAAGUUAAAAAGCUUAAAUUUAUUUAUAGGACGAGAAGACCCUAUAGAGUUUAUAUACAUUAUUCUAUUUAUUUUGUUUGUUUAUUUUAUUUAGUAUUUAAUAUAUUUUAUUGGGGUGAUUGGAAGAAUUAAUUAACUCUUUUUUUUUAAUAUACAUUAAUUUAUGAAUACUUGAUCCAAUUUUGUUGAUUAUAAGAUUAAAUUACCUUAGGG
rnacentral:rRNA from 1 species